rnacentral:rRNA from 1 species
CUUGGUUCAGGAUGAACGCUAGCGACAGGCCUAACACAUGCAAGUCGAGGGGCAGCACAAGGAGCAAUCUGAGGUGGCGACCGGCGCACGGGUGAGUGACACGUAUGCAACCUGCCUGUAAGCGGGGGAAUAACCCGUUGAAAGACGGACUAAUACCGCAUAAUACUAAAAUUACUGCAUGGUAAUUUAUUUAAACAUUUAUGGCUUACAGAUGGGCAUGCGCAUGAUUAGCUAGUUGGAGAGGUAACGGCUCCCCAAGGCAACGAUCAGUUAGGGGUUCUGAGAGGAACGGUCCCCCCACACUGGUACUGAGACACGGACCAGACUCCUACGGGAGGCAGCAGUGAGGAAUAUUGGUCAAUGGACGAGAGUCUGAACCAGCCAAGUCGCGUGCAGGAAGAAUUCGUCCUAUGGAUUAGUAAACUGUCUUUUGCGAGGGGAAAUAAAGUGCAUCACGUGUGAUUGUUUUGUAUGUACUCUGCGAAUAAGGAUCGGCUAACUCCGUGCCAGCCGCCGC